GUGGGGAAUCUUGCGCAAUGGGCGAAAGCCUGACGCAGCCAUGCCGCGUGAAUGAUGAAGGUCUUAGGAUUGUAAAAUUCUUUCACCGGGGACGAUAAUGACGGUACCCGGAGAAGAAGCUCCGGCUAACUUCGUGCCAGCAGCCGCGGUAAUACGAAGGGGGCUAGCGUUGCUCGGAAUUACUGGGCGUAAAGGGCGCGUAGGCGGACAGCUUAGUCAGAGGUGAAAGCCCAGGGCUCAACCUUGGAAUUGCCUUUGAGACUGGCUGUCUUGAGUUUGGGAGAGGUGAGUGGAACUCCGAGUGUAGAGGUGAAAUUCGUAGAUAUUCGGAAGAACACCAGUGGCGAAGGCGACUCACUGGCCCAAUACUGACGCUGAGGCGCGAAAGCGUGGGGAGCAAACAGGAUUAGAAACCCUAGUAGUCC
rnacentral:rRNA from 1 species